rnacentral:lncRNA from 1 species
CUACGUUCAAUAAAUAAUAAUUUAAUAAAAUUUUUUUAGUUAAUUUUGAAGCCCUAAAUAUUAGAAAAACAAGUAAAUAACUAUUUUGUCUAAUAAAUACUCACUACUAUUUUUAACCUUUCCGGUCGUGCUAGUAGACGAAGUAUGGAGUUGAUCAAUCGUUAACAGAAGGAAUUCAGGAAUGUUAACUGCCACAAACAAUCAACUUAAUAACAAGAGUUUUACAAACAAAAGCUUAACAACAAUAAAAUGACGAGGUUAACAAACACAACAAUCAUACAAACGAGUCAUUUUGAAUAGCAUGUCGUACAGUUUCCUUCAUCGAGGGAACUUUAGUACUUAAGGGCUUGGCAGAGGUGGCAACGGUACUGGCAGCUCUGGUAGUGGUAGUUUGGGAAGUCCUGGCAAAGGUACUGGCAACUCCGGUAUGGGCAAAGUUGGCAGCUGAGAUUUUGGAAGUUCUGGCAGUUUAGGAAGAUCGGGCAUAGGUAAUGUGGGCAAUCCAGGCUGUGGCAAUGUUGGUAGCUCGGGUUUUGGGAGGCCAAUGGGAAGAUCAGGCUUCGGCACAUCUGGCAAACUUACUUCCAAAAGACGGCGAGCCUCCGCUUGAAUUGCAUGGCUGCUGAUUGAUGAUAAGACAAAGAGGAAGAGAAGGUAAAGGGAGUGAUGAGCCAUAGUUAUAGCAGAUGAUUUAUACAGUUCCAAGU